CGCACAAACUGACACACGUUGUAAAAACCACUUGCAAAACAAUUUAAAAAGUUAAAAAAGGAUUUUUUUUUUCUGUCAGUGUUGUCAAAUUCGACUAAAAACUGGAUAUUUCGAGCCUGUGCUGCAGAUUGCGUUGGUGUUAGGCACACCUCAAGGCGAUAGACUCGACCGUGGAGAGGCAGUCUGCGGAUUGUUUUUCAGAACAAGAAAUCUACACGUAGAAGAGGCAAAGUGCAAAGUACUGUGUAAUUAAGAGUCACGAUCAACUGUUUAAAGUUACCAACUCAAAAGAAAUUUCAGCACCAACGGGGCACUAUGUCGUCUAGUUUAGAUGAACCUGGACCAGGAGAUGAAACUGAACCAUUGUUUGGUGCUCCUAGCACUGCUGAUAAAGUUGGAAAUGAUCCGAGCUCAGUGAAACCUGAGCGGCACUUGAAUCGUAAAACUGGCUUAAAUUGUUCGAUAGGUCUGAAUGUUUGCUCAUCAUUAAUUAAUAAUGAGCCAAAACGAAAUCUUUCAGUGGUUGGAAGGGUGCACCUAUUUGAUAGAAAUGAUUCAGUUCCACAAGAAAGAGGAAAAGGGGGGUUGGAAAAAUCCGAAUCUGAAAAACAUGCUGUGGGGGUUGGUGAAAAAGCAAAAGAAGACCCAUCAGAUCCUUGUGAGGCUCGUCACUAUACGAGCGUCCAGGGAGAUGGAAACAAGUUUGUAUCAGUUCCACCUGGAUAUCAAGGCAAUCUGACUGUACAUUUUUAAUAAAUACAUUCCAUAUUGUGUGAAAUUGUCCGUUCACCUUUAUAUUAACGCAAGUGCCUCCAAUUGGAAAGCCUCUUCUUUGGUUUUUAUACAUGUAUUUUUAGGUGGACAAGAUUGUAAUUUUAAUACUCAAUUAUCGUAAGUACUUGCAUUUCGUAUUUUGUAUUUUUGGUACUUAACACGGCCGGCCCCUUGAAAAAAAAAAUCGCUAAAUGGGUUAUCUGUGGCUAAAUAAAGCUAAUAAAAAUAACAGUAAUUAUCAUGUGAAUGUUUUUCUUGGUCAUAAUAUGUGCUUCAUAGUAAAGCUGUACGUAGGGAACAUUUAUAAGUUUUCUUAAAAUAAACCAGGAUAAGCAGGAUUACUGUACUUGUACAAAUCUGUAAAUAAGUCGCAAUACUGAAAUAAUGAUAUUAUAUUUUUCGAAAUCACUCCAAUCAUGCCGAUAGAGAUAGAUAUAUUAAGUGUUUAAAAAAAGUAACUUUAGGCCCCCCAAAAAAGUCUCCAGUUUCUGGUAUGCGCGCGCGUCGCC